CCGACAGGACGCGUCCGCGCCGGCCUGGAGGGAGGAGGGGGCCGGUACGCAGACGCGGGCCGGGGGAGAUGACUCUCUCUGAGGGAUCCUCAACCCCAGGAUUGAGACCCCACCCCUGCCCUAGCUGGAGUUGAAGACCGCAGUGGGGGUGGGGGCCCAUCCCUCGCAGGUGGAAGGAAGGGUGAUCUGCGCCGGGAGAGCUGCGACUGUCCCUGUUCCGGGAUCCCUGGCUCUGGGUUCAGGAGGAUGAAAGGAGGGGCCCCAGCACUCCAAGAGCUGGGCGAGUUCAGGUGGCCAGGCCCCCUCCUUCACCAAGGCCUCUGGGAGCUGCUGGGCUCCUUGGCCCCCCUGCCAGCCUGAGUGCCAGAAUCCAGUCCUGGCUCCAUAAUAAUCGUCAGAGCAGCCGGCACCAUUUACUGAGCUCCGAGGGACUGCCAGGCCCGGGUGCCAAAUGCAUAACACGAAUUAUCCCACUUAGUCACAGAAGUCCUGUUGUGAUCCCCUUAGGAAGGUGAGGGGGCUGUGGAGGCAAGGGGCGUGGCUUGCCCGGGGGCGUGGCCUGCCUGAGGUCGGUCAGCCUGCCGGGUUGGAGGGACAGGUGGGAGUCACACCAGCUUCAACCAGGUCUAGAGCCCAAGCCUUCAACUCCUGCCUACGACUCCUCGGACCUCUCCCGGAGGCUGAGCGGGCAACAGAGGCUGCUCCUCAGCUGGGUGUGGCCCGUGGGAGGUGACAGAGGGCAGAGGCCGGUCGCCCUGGAAAGGAGGAAGAAUAGGGGACCCUCAGCUCCCUGGCAGCUUAAUUUCCUGCUCUCUUCCUGUUCCCACGCCUCCCAACGAGGGAUGUCUUGUGGACAAAUGAGAUCAUGGACAUGAGGUGCUCUGAACUCCUUGGAAGAAAAUAACUAUCGGGGAUAAUAUUAGUCUAUCCCCCUCAGACCAGGUAAGUCCUCUCCUUGUGGCCUCAGUUCCCUUCUGAUAGUAUCAGGUGUGCCUCGUGGCAAUUUGCUUCUUCUCUGGGCCUCAGUUUCCGCAUCUGCCACAUGAGGACAUACCAUGAGAUGGUUCUGAGGGUCUCUGGCUCCUCCAGGGAGAUAAUCCAGGGACAACUGUGUCUGAAGAGGGGAUGCCUUCUGUCUUCUCUUGACUGCCACAUCCUGGGCUGAGUUGGGAGUCCUUAUAAUGUCACAAACACCACUUCCUGUCCUGUCUGUCUUUCUGGUCAAACGAGGCUGUGAAGAACAUUAGGCAAGUGUGGGCUUUUCUGCCGGAAAUUCCUCUCUAAUUUCUGGGGUACAGCCUUAAGGCCUGUUUUCUGCAAAAGACCUCAAUGUGAACCCCUUCCCUCCACUCCAGGUCGGAGGUCUGGGUUCCACUGGGGAAGACCCAUCCCUCUCCAAAGCCCCCUUGACCUCUCCCUUUAUGGCCAGAAGUGUUGGAGUGCAAGAUGCUUCAGUGAAAGGGGGGUGGAAGCUGCAAUGAGAGAAAAGAGAAGCUUCUCACACAAGACUCCGAUGCAUGCUCCCACAUGACCUGUCUUUAGCUAAGGCACCACAACCCUGACUCUGCAAAGCGGAGGCCUCCGCCAUGUCCCUACCUUCCCUCUUUCCUUACCC
rnacentral:lncRNA from 13 species